GACAGAAGCUUCGAAGUCGGAGCGAGAUACACCGUCAACAAUGAAUUCAAUCUUGCUAAUACAAUUACCUGGAUGCACUUGUAUUGAAUAAUCAUUCAACCGUGUUCUUCCUUUUUAGUGAACACGGAUGGGCGUAUUUGGAUAUGGAUAUAGAUGUAGAAGCAGAACCCGAGAGGAAGAAGUGGAAGAAUCACGAUUUACAGAGAAAGGGGGAGUGGACGGUGGCGAUGGGGAGAAUGGGUGCGAGAGAAAGGCGGUGGAGAUGGGGAAUC
rnacentral:lncRNA from 1 species